CAGUGAUGAUGUUAAAAAAGAAGGGGAAAUUUUGACGGAAAUGUUGGAGAUAGUAGCAAAAAGGGAUUCCUUAAUCGUCCUAUUGGAGGAAGAACGACAAAGAUAUCAGAACGAAGACCGCGACCUCGAAGCUCAAAUGCUGGCUAAAGGCCUGAGAUUAACGCCAAUUAAAAAAUGUGGUCCUAAAUAUUCAGUCUAAGGGAGAUACGCUUCUGUACAUACAUUCUCCGCUACAGUUUUUUAUCGCAUGAUAACACCAGAAGAAAGAUAUAUAUAUAUAUAUAUAUAUAUAUAUAUAUAAUUUGUAAAUAGUUUAGGUGGCGCAAAGGACGUUGAAGAAGAUGGAAGGGAGACUCGUGUAUGCCUAGAAUAUUUCUGCCCAUUUUCAAUAUAUUCAAUAUUUAAUAAACAUAUCUUUUUUACAAAUACUUUUUUAGAUAAUUAAAAUCCUUAAUUUUUUACAUGAAAAUAAACCACGUAAAAUCUGCUUCAUCGACAUAAUACAUAUAAUUUAAUUGCAUAAAUGAGACAUACGCUGCAUUGCCAUUACGACGUGCAACAUAAAAUAAGAUUUUAUUGCAAAAUGUCAGGAAGGUGCGAUACUGUGAACGUAAAUAAAUACUUGGAUUUGUAAAUUUCCUUGCAAUGUGAAAUAAAAUUGACGUGGUUUAUUCUUAUUUUUAAAGAUGGACCAAACGCGCUGUUUUAUGGUUCUGGCGUUAAAAUCAUGGAAUGUGUAUGACAUUUAAACGUAUUAUGCGCAAAAUCCAGUGUAUAUAACUUUAGCGAUAUGGUAGGGCUAGGGCGAUCAAAUUAACCAAAGGAUGCUCUUUAAUUAAUCGUUUGUAUUUAUGAAAUUCGAAAGCGGGAGAGCUCUUAUAAUAUAUUUUGUAGGUGAAGAGUACAAGUAUAGAAAAGCGUUUUUAUAUUUUAUACAGUACCUAUGUAAAUUAUGUAUACAACACAAAUCGAUGUAAAAUUUUGCUACUACAUUA